rnacentral:rRNA from 1 species
AUGAACGCUGGCGGCGUGCCUCAUACAUGCCCGUCGAGCGAACAGACGAGGAGCUUGCUCCUCUGACGUUAGCGGCGGACGGGUGAGUAACACGUGGAUAACCUACCUAUAAGACUGGGAUAACUUCGGGAAACCGGAGCUAAUACCGGAUAAUAUAUUGAACCGCAUGGUUCAAUAGUGAAAGACGGUUUUGCUGUCACUUAUAGAUGGAUCCGCGCCGCAUUAGCUAGUUGGUAAGGUAACGGCUUACCAAGGCAACGAUGCGUAGCCGACCUGAGAGGGUGAUCGGCCACACUGGAACUGAGACACGGUCCAGACUCCUACGGGAGGCAGCAGUAGGGAAUCUUCCGCAAUGGGCGAAAGCUUGACGGAGCAACGCCGCGUGAGUGAUGAAGGUCUUCGGAUCGUAAAACUCUGUUAUUAGGGAAGAACAAAUGUGUAAGUAACUAUGCACGUCUUGACGGUACCUAAUCAGAAAGCCACGGCUAACUACGUG